rnacentral:rRNA from 1 species
GGCAUAGGGUGCAAGCGUUGUUCGGAAUCACUGGGCGUAAAGCGCGUGUAGGCGGCUACGCAAGUCGGAUGUGAAAUCCCACGGCUCAACCAUGGAAGUGCAUUCGAAACUGCGUAGCUAGAGUUUUGGAGAGGAAGGCGGAAUACUCGGUGUAGAGGUGAAAUUCGUAGAUAUCGAGUGGAACACCGGUGGCGAAGGCGGCCUUCUGGACAAUGACUGACGCUGGAACGCGAAAGCGUGGGGAGCAAACAGG